rnacentral:lncRNA from 1 species
UCCAGGUCAUCUGAGUUUGGCCAGACACAUUGGAUAUUUGAAAUAUUCUGAUUGGUUGGAUUUGAAUUGGAUUUUGUGUGUUGCUUGUAGGGUGUUCCAUCGUGCUCUCUAACCCGAGGAGUGUUGGAUCUACCACGUCAAUUAAUGAGGCGUGAUCCAACGCACCGUGUUUUUUCUGAUUUUAAUUAUUUUUCUUUUAUU